rnacentral:rRNA from 1 species
AUGAUGUGGUUAAUUCGAUGCAACGCGAAAAACCUUACCCACCUUUGACAUGUACGGAAUUCUUCAGAGAUGAAGGAGUGCUCGAAAGAGAACCGUAACACAGGUGCUGCAUGGCUGUCGUCAGCUCGUGUCGUGAGAUGUUGGGUUAAGUCCCGCAACGAGCGCAACCCUUGUCAUUAGUUGCUACAUUCAGUUGGGCACUCUAAUGAGACUGCCGGUGACAAACCGGAGGAAGUGGGGAUGACGUCAAAUCAUCAUGCCCCUUAUGACCUGGGCUACACACGUGCUACAAUGGUUGGUACAACGAGUUGCGAGUCGGUGACGGCGAGCUAAUCUCUUAAAGCCAAUCUCAGUUCGGAUUGUAGGCUGCAACUCGCCUACAUGAAGUCGGAAUCGCUAGUAAUCGCGGAUCAGCACGCCGCGGUGAAUACGUUCCCGGGCCUU